rnacentral:sRNA from 1 species
AUUACAACAAGAGAGGCUCAAGGCCUCUCUGACAACCUCUUUGCCCGCUCGUCAGCGGGCUUUUU